CUUAAGGAUUCCUUAUUGAAGGAAUAAUAUUUUUUAAACCACUGAAAACUUAUUCCUGGAAAAUGUCAGUCAGGAGCAUCAGACCUUCUUCCCCAUGUGGCACAUGCUCUGUGACUGUGUCCUGUCCCCUUGUCCCAGACGGGGUGGGGGAAAUACAGUGCUUCUGUCUGGAAAUGAGAUAGUCUUUCCAUGGCUAGCUGUGGAAAUCCGUGCCAUCCCAUCCAUUGAAAACACAGUGAAAAUCAGCUCUUUCCUCAGAGGGGUCAAUAACAUCCUCAUGCAAAACUAUGAAGAGCACAGUAGUUAGAAAUCAGCAAGUAUCCUAAGGCACCUGGCACAUCACUGCCUUUUUCUGAACCUGAGAAGGCUGUGGGCCAAAUAUCCUGCAGGGCAGGAUCUGAGUUUCUAAUUUGGAAACCAAGAGAGCUCUGAGCAGGUCAUGUCUGGGUGGUGUCGUGUGCAAAUGUGCUCCUCUCUCCCAGUGGAGGUUUCAUCAGGGGAUGGUGUGGGUCACCCACAUAAUGAGCCUGGAGAUUUUAAUCUAGGCCGCUGCCAUGCUGCGCUGGCAAUUGCUACUUAGCAGAUUGUGGGCCUUGGGUGGGAGGGAAUGUUUCAGGUGGGGAGUGGAAGGUAGAGAGAGAUAAGGGAGGGUGGAAGCCAUCAGUCAUUUACAAGAAAGGGGCUGGAGAGAUGGGGUAAGUCUGCGGGGCUGGCCUUCAGCGCAGUGUGUUCUCUUUUAGCUUCGCCACUUCUGCCUAGCAUGACGUUGAAUGAACAACUGUGAUGUGCUCAUAAAGUAGCCUGGUGGGAGGGAGGCAGCAAUGGCUGUCAUUUUUAUGUGCCUCAAAUUCUUAGCACCACUAUUCCACAAAUGGCUAUUGAGAGCCUAGCAUGCACACUAAAACUUCGUGGGAGCCAAGAAAGCUUGGAUGAACAUUUGUUUACUCCUGAUCCCUAACUGUGGGGAAGGUCACUUUGGCCCAGUGUUAGUUUCUGGGUGAUUUCAGGCCAGUGUGCAUGAGUGGCUAUCUGGAGCCUCCAGGCUACAGCCAGGGAUUUUUACAGCAGAGGGGCUUUUGAAAGCUGGCACUUUGUCCCAUUGGUGGAGCUGCAUAAGAAUCUAAGAUUGGAAGCCACGAGCAGAAGGACACAGACUCAGUAUCUUACUGGGGCUGGGGUGGAAAAAGCCAGACUCACAUUGCAGCAUUCUCUUCUCUUUAAGGUGGCCACGGUCACAAGUCAUUUAGGUUAAGACACAGCACGUCCACUGUGUGCCAUUCUGUUCCCAUAAUGCUAAAGCUAAUGGAACUUUCUAGUUUCCACUGAUGCUUUCUCUGCCCUCAACCCCCACCCUACAGCCAUCUCUAAACCUGUGGACCCCCAACUUUUCCUUCUCAGGACAAUCUGAAGACUAAAAGCACUAGAACAUGUAACUAUCCUCAUUGCUAUUAUAUAUUUUCCCUCUCAUCUGCCAAUUUUCUUUUACGACUUGCCUGGAAAACUAAAAGAAAUUGCUGAUGGGCUUUCCUUAAGUCUAUCUGGCUUGAAGUUAGGGUUGUAUUUGAGGAGAAUAAAAGUCAACUGAAAAACAUCCUAACAGGAAGAAAUUACGGACAGUUAAGAGCAACGACAAGUCUGCAAUGGCUUACAAACACAAUCUUCAAUUUGGACCAAGAAAUAUAGCAAUGAUUAGGUUUUCUCUCAUUUCUUAGCAACAAACUCCAUGGAGCAGCUUGCUCACAUCGUGGGAGCAAGUCUCUUCCCAGAGGCUGGGAUCCAGUUUGGACACUGCCACGGCCCCUUGGGAGUUGCCCUGAGAGAGGAAUCUUGGUUUGUGUGAAGUUCAUUUUGGAAGUCAACUACCCUUGCCCAGUCUCUGCUAAAGGUCCACUCACAUCCCCACUCACGUUCAGAUGGCUCAGGCAGACAUGGGAGAAAAGUCAGAAACCUGAGCUGGUCAUGCGGCCCUGGGGAUGGCCCUUCAAAGAACUUCAAAGAUUUUCCGUUUGCC